CACGUAGGGUGCGAGCGUUGUCCGGAAUUACUGGGCGUAAAGCGUGCGCAGGCGGUUUUGUAAGCCAGAUGUGAAAUCCCCGGGCUUAACCUGGGAAUGGCAUUUGGGACUGCAAGGCUCGAGUGCGGCAGAGGAGACUGGAAUUCCUGGUGUAGCAGUGAAAUGCGUAGAUAUCAGGAGGAACACCGAUGGCGAAGGCAGGUCUCUGGGCUGACACUGACGCUCAUGCACGAAAGCGUAGGGAGCAAACAGG
rnacentral:rRNA from 1 species